UACGAAGGGGGCUAGCGUUGCUCGGAAUCACUGGGCGUAAAGGGUGCGUAGGCGGGGCUUUAAGUCAGGGGUGAAAUCCUGGAGCUCAACUCCAGAACUGCCUUUGAUACUGAAGAUCUUGAGUUCGGGAGAGGUGAGUGGAACUGCGAGUGUAGAGGUGAAAUUCGUAGAUAUUCGCAAGAACACCAGUGGCGAAGGCGGCUCACUGGCCCGAUACUGACGCUGAGGUGCGAGAGCGUGGGGAGCGAACCGG
rnacentral:rRNA from 1 species